GACGAACGCUGGCGGCGUGCUUAACACAUGCAAGUCGAACGGAAAGGCCCUGCUUUUGUGGGGUGCUCGAGUGGCGAACGGGUGAGUAACACGUGAGUAACCUGCCCUUGACUUUGGGAUAACUUCAGGAAACUGGGGCUAAUACCGGAUAGGAGCUCCUGCUGCAUGGCGGGGGUUGGAAAGUUUCGGCGGUUGGGGAUGGACUCGCGGCUUAUCAGUUUGUUGGUGGGGUAGUGGCUUACCAAGGCUUUGACGGGUAGCCGGCCUGAGAGGGUGACCGGCCACAUUGGGACUGAGAUACGGCCCAGACUCCUACGGGAGGCAGCAGUGGGGAAUAUUGCACAAUGGGCGGAAGCCUGAUGCAGCAACGCCGCGUGCGGGAUGACGGCCUUCGGGUUGUAAACCGCUUUCGCCUGUGACGAAGCGUGAGUGACGGUAAUGGGUAAAGAAGCACCGGCUAACUACGUGCCAGCAGCCGCGGUGAUACGUAGGGUGCGAGCGUUGUCCGGAUUUAUUGGGCGUAAAGGGCUCGUAGGUGGUUGAUCGCGUCGGAAGUGUAAUCUUGGGGCUUAACCCUGAGCGUGCUUUCGAUACGGGUUGACUUGAGGAAGGUAGGGGAGAAUGGAAUUCCUGGUGGAGCGGUGGAAUGCGCAGAUAUCAGGAGGAACACCAGUGGCGAAGGCGGUUCUCUGGGCCUUUCCUGACGCUGAGGAGCGAAAGCGUGGGGAGCGAACAGGCUUAGAUACCCUGGUAGUCCACGCUGUAAACGGUGGGUACUAGGUGUGGGGUCCAUUCCACGGGUUCCGUGCCGUAGCUAACGCUUUAAGUACCCCGCCUGGGGAGUACGGCCGCAAGGCUAAAACUCAAAGGAAUUGACGGGGCCCCGCACAAGCGGCGGAGCAUGCGGAUUAAUUCGAUGCAACGCGUAGAACCUUACCUGGGUUUGACAUGGAUCGGGAGUGCUCAGAGAUGGGUGUGCCUCUUUUGGGGUCGGUUCACAGGUGGUGCAUGGCUGUCGUCAGCUCGUGUCGUGAGAUGUUGGGUUAGGUCCCGCAACGAGCGCAACCCUUGUUCACUGUUGCCAGCACGUUAUGGUGGGGACUCAGUGGAGACCGCCGGGGUCAACUCGGAGGAAGGUGGGGAUGACGUCAAGUCAUCAUGCCCCUUAUGUCCAGGGCUUCACGCAUGCUACAAUGGCUGGUACAGAGAGUGGCGAGCCUGUGAGGGUGAGCGAAUCUCGGAAAGCCGGUCUCAGUUCGGAUUGGGGUCUGCAACUCGACCUCAUGAAGUCGGAGUCGCUAGUAAUCGCAGAUCAGCAACGCUGCGGUGAAUACGUUCCCGGG
rnacentral:rRNA from 1 species